rnacentral:rRNA from 1 species
UGCCAGCAGCCGCGGUAAUACGGGGGGUGCAAGCAUUAAUCGGAUUUAUUGGGCGUAAAGAGCGCGUAGGCGGGAGUAAAAGUCAGAUGUGAAAUUCCAGGGCUCAACCCUGGAGCUGCAUUUGAAACUCUAUUUCUAGAGGGUAGGCGGAGAAAACGGAAUUCCACAAGUAGCGGUGAAAUGCGUAGAUAUGUGGAAGAACACCGGUGGCUAAGGCGGUUUUCUAGCUUACUCCUGACGCUGAGGCGCGAAAGCAAGGGGAGCAAACAGGAUUAGAUA